GCCACAGAUUGUACUCCUUACAAAACACCCAGUGCUCCUUAUAGACUGAAAUGGGAAAUACGUGAAUGAGAAAACAAAGUGGCAAAACUAUUGUGCCCAAACACUUGGCGUGCCCUGGAGCUGCUGUCAGAGGACCGACAAGCCACAGCACCCAAGGGAGGGAUUGAAAAUGCUUUGUCGUGUCUUUGGCUAUACCGGAGUGGAGCCAGUCCCAUGAAUGAAACAUUCAUGUGAUUCCUGCUCCGGAUUCCUGAGAGAGACACACACAAAGACAACCCCUAGUGACCUCAGAACAUUCUUGGAGGAUAUGAUGACAACAAGAAAACAGGAAGAGGAAGACCCACCAAGAGGAAGACCCAGGCAACCACACAUGAAGCUGAUGCCCCUUGCAAAUAGAUACUCUCUUCUCUAGUCACUGAUUAACAUGGUGGGGUCUGAUCACUGCCUUCAUGCCGUCUCCAUGGUAACAUGCGGAGUGGUGUAUGGUUGGGUGGGGUUGGAUAGCAGCCAGCCAGGAAGUUGGCCUAUGAUAUUGGAGCUGAUCUGCAUUAGACUUGGUCCCUUUGUGACAGUACAGUUACUUGGUCUGUCCUAGGAGAAACUAGAGUAGAAACCACACGAGGCUAGAUUACAGUAGAAGCCACACUAGGCUAGAUUACAGUAGAAGCCACACUAGGCCCCUCUGGGAAAUACAGUACAGUCUCACAACUCGAAAUUUCUGGAGCAGAUUAGAGGGGCAGGAGAAUUAUGCAGCAUGCAUGGCAACAUUAAAUCAUUGUAGAUUCUGCAAAUCUCAUUACUCUGGUAUUCACAGCACAUCUAAUAACAGUAGUCAGCUGCUGAUGCUAGUGAAAACCAUGCUAUUUCAGUACACACAUAGCUGAUGCUAGUGAAAACCAUGCUAUUUCAGUACACACAUAGCUGAUGCUAGUGAAAACCAUGCUAUUUCAGUACACACAUAGCUGAUGCUAGUGAAAACCAUGCUAUUUCAGUACACAUAGCUGGAGGGCAGGUAGUUUUCCCCCUGUGAUAUGUUGGGCCGCACCACCCUCUGGAGAGCUCUGCGGUUGCGAGCGGUGCAGUUGCCAUAACAGGUGGUGAUACAUCCUGACAGGAUGCUCUCAAUGGUGCAUUUGUAAAAGUUUGUGAGGGUCUUAGGAGGCUUUAGAAAUUAGGCCCCUGAGGUUGAAGAGGUACCAUUGCGCCUUCACCACACCAUUUCAGAUUGUCCGUGAUGUGUACACUGAGGAACUUUAAGCUUUUCAACUUCUCCACUGCGGUCCCUUCGAUGUGGAUAGGGGGUCUGCUCCCUCUGCUGUUCCCUGAAGU
rnacentral:lncRNA from 1 species